UAAUAAGUGUUUUAUGGCACUUUUUAAAUCCAUAUCCACCUUGUGUGCAAUGUCAGUCGAUCUUCUUCAUGGAGAUCGACCUAAACAUCAACCUUUAUCUUUUAACUCUUUGUCUGAAAAAUAUUAUGAAUAAACAAUUCAAAAUA
rnacentral:misc_RNA from 1 species